rnacentral:rRNA from 1 species
CCAUUGGAACGGUGGCUAAUACCGGAUGUGCCGGGAGGUGAAAGAUUAAUUGCCUGAAGAUGAGCUCGCGUCUGAUUAGCUAGUUGGUGUGGUAAGAGCGCACCAAGGCGACGAUCAGUAGCUGGUCUGAGAGGAUGACCAGCCACACUGGGACUGAGACACGGCCCAGACUCCUACGGGAGGCAGCAGUGGGGAAUUUUCCGCAAUGGGCGAAAGCCUGACGGAGCAAUACCGCGUGAGGGAGGAAGGCUCUUGGGUCGUAAACCUCUUUUCUCAAGGAAUAAGAAAGUGAAGGUACUUGAGGAAUAAGCAUCGGCUAACUCCGUGCCAGCAGCCGCGGUAAUACGGAGGAUGCAAGCGUUAUCCGGAAUGAUUGGGCGUAAAGGGUCCGCAGGUGGCAUUGUGUGUCUGCUGUUAAAGAGUUUGGCUUAACCAGAUAAAAGCAGUGGAAACUACAAAGCUAGAGUGCGUUCGGGGCAGAAGGAAUUCCUGGUGUAGCGGUGAAAUGCGUAGAGAUCAGGAAGAA